rnacentral:lncRNA from 1 species
UUUUUUGGCUGCACCUGUGGCAUAUGGAAGUUUCCAGGGCACGGACUGAAUCUGAGCCAGAUCUGGGACCUAUGCUACAGCUGUAGAAUGCUGGAUCCUUAUCCCACUGUGCUGGCCCAGGGACUGAACCAGCUCUCCACAGAGACAAGGCAGAUCAAUAAUGCACUAUGCCACAGCAGGAACUAAAAAAAAAAAAGUUUACUAUUUUUAUGGGCGAGUAUAGGACUGAGAAUAAGAAUUUUGAAAAUGAAAUACAAAGAAGAUGGACUACAUUAUCAGAUAUUAAAACACUUUAGAGAACUAUAGGAAUUAAGACAGUGUGGUACUGAUACAAGAACAAAUUAUCAAAAUGGAAUAAAGAGUCUUGAAACUGUCCUAUUUAUUUUUAAGGAGGACUACAUGAUAUAUGUGGGACAAAGGCAUGCUAAUUGAUGUGUUCAAUUUGCAAUCUAUCUAAAAUUUAUUUUUAAUCCAUAUUAAAUUUGCUUUUAUCUGUAGCGUGAGGUAAAGAUCAAAUUAUGUCUUUUCCACAUGAAUGCCAGAAACGAAACAAAACAAAACCCCUAGAUAUGGAAAACUCCUAUAAGAAAAAUAUAGGAGAGGUAGAGAAAUUUCUUUUGUCUUUCUGCCUUUUCUAGGGCUGCACGCUCGGCAUAUGGAGGUUCCCAGGCUAGGGGGCGAAUUGGAGCUGUAGCCACCAGCCUACACCACAGCUCACGGCAACGCUGGGUCCUUAACCCACUGAGCGAGGCCAGGGAUCGAACCCUCAACCUCAUGGUUCCUAAUCGGAUUCGUUAACUACUGCACCAUGACGGGAACUCCAAGAAAUUUCUUAAAACAGAAAAGUCAGGUAAAAGGUAUGGUUCCAUUAACGUGUCCAGAUCUCAAAAAAGAAAAAGACAUAGAGUAUAAAAAGCAAUAUGAUGCAAUAUGAUGCCACUUAUGUCAAUUAAAACACACAUAAAGAUGCCUAUGUCUAGCUAUAAAUACAGUGUUUAAACCUCUAAAAGUUAGUCUGGAAGGAGAGGUUCUGGAAUGAAAUGGGGGGAACUUAAGUUAUGACUAGUUUUUUGUUUAAAAAAAAGCCUUAAAAACAAAUAUGGCAAAACACUAAUAGCUGUUAAAUCUGAGUUGGAGGAAUAUGGAUGUUUGCUGGAUUAUUUUUGCAUUUGUGCAUUUGCUAUAUUUUUUAACUUUUUAAAGAAAGAAUCUUUGAACUCAAAUGUUAAAUCUCAAGUUUCUUCAUUAAUCUCCCUAUUACCCUACAGAGUAUUUUCUUGAUUAUCUAUAAUCUUCUUCUUAUUUCAAAAUAAGCAAUAUAAACAGGGCAGACAAAUAAAUGAAGCUGUCAAUCCCAACUGUGAUGCCUACUUUUACGUGUCAAUUCAGCUCAGGUACGAUGCCCGGAUGUUUGGUCAAACACCAGUCUAGACGUUGCUGUGAAGGUAUUUUUUAGAUGUGAUUAAUAUUUAAACAGCGAACUUUUCUUGAAGAUUCCUCCCCAUUAUGUAGUGGGCCUUGUUUAAUCAGUUGACAGCCAUAAGUGAAAAGAGACCAAGGCUUCCCAAAGGACAAGGAACUGUCCUCAAGACUGCAAAAGGAGUUCCUGUUGUGGCUCAGUGGGUUGAGCACCUGCCAUGGUGUCCCUGAGGAUGCGGGUUCGGUCUCUGGCCUCACUCAGUUGGGUUUAGGAUCCAGUGUUGCUGUGCGCUGCAGCACAGGUCAGAUGCAGCUUGGAUCUGGUGUUGCUGUGGCUGUGGUGUAGGCUGGCAGCUGCAGCUCUGAUUCUACCACUUGCCUGGGAACUUCCAUAUGCUGCAGGUGCAGCCUAAAAAGAACCAAAGAAGACUGCAACAUAGAAACUCUGCCAAAUUUUCCAACCUGCUGGCUCACCCUACAGAGUCUGGACCCGCCCAUCCCCAUGACUGCGUGAACCCAUUUCUCAAAAUAAACCCUCCCCACUUUCUUCACACACAUGUAUCUCCUCUCCAUUCUAUUUCUCUGGAAAACCCUGACUAUACCAACACUGCAAGAUUGGAGGCUACCACGGUUUCUCAACAAUGAAAAUGGUUCACAGUUUUUGUAACAAAAGGGUAGUAAACCAUGCUUUGGGGGAGUGAGGGGACAAGGACAGACCAGUUUGUGUUGACACACUGGAAUCAAACACAGCUUGUGUUUAUUUUCUAGGAAAAUGGCUCAUGAGGAGAUAAAAGUUCCUCAGUAAGAUGGCAUCUUGUCAGAGGUGUGAUUUUUCUGAGUGGAAAGGUCCCCACUGGCCUGAGAUUACCUGCUGGCCAGAUGCUUCUGUGGAGGAUACCUGUCCACACUCCUGCAAGGAGGAUCAAGAGGGGCCGGAGGAGUGAAGGCUGGCCUUCCCAUGCCCGGGAUUUUUCCUGAGGGGAAUUCUGCCCGUUUCUUUCACCAAAACCACACGUUGACAGGCUGCCCAAGACAGACUGCUCUCUGUAGACCGACUUCUCCACCCAUGGGCCUCGGCUCUGCUCACACUGUUGUCAACCGUGUCAAGUGCUCUGGCUUCAUAUGACAGCCCACAGUCCCCUUCAUCUGUGAAGUACACCUCCAGACACCACAUACACCUGCAUAAAAGGCUACAAGGACCCCUAAAUAGAAGUUGGUAUCCCUUUGUUCAGCGUAGAUCUCUUACGGAUCUUAGAGAAAAUGUAUCUGAGCCAUUUCAUGUUGUGCACUUCUGUUCAUUUUACUUUGGUUUGGGACUUGCAAACCAAGAAAAUUCAAGUAAGGAGCAAGAGUGGAGUUACUGAAACAGCGGUUCAAGAUGACAACAGUACAUGUUAUAAAAAUGCUUCUUGACAUCAACCGGCAUUACUUAUAAAGUUAGAAGUGAACAAAGGACAUCUCAGUGGGGACCAUGAGAUGAGCCCAAAUAUAAGCAGUCACCUACUGUCCCAAUCAGAACAACCUGGUGGGGGGUGGGUAGUAUUUUGGUUAAAUAAAUGCAAAUGAUGUAAAUGAAAGACUAUCAUAAGAUGGCAACAGUCCACCUAAGCAGCCUUCGGUGGAAAUGUAACAUUUAAAAUAUUUACUGUAAAUAUUUUACAGUAAAAAAUGUAACAUUUAAAAUAUUUACUGUAAACGAUUUAAGACAGUAAUAUAACAAUCCACAUGGUUGUGGGUGCAAGAAUAUCAUACACCUAAAUCCUACAUAAACAGCAUACGUUAACACUUAUUUAGAAAUAUUUCUAGUUUCCUCCCGUCUCUGACUCUCACAUAUUAGAAAAUGAUUUAUUCAGAGUCUUCAGUGGCUGUUUUACACCCAUGCUUGUGAUUACGGCUGCAUUCGGGGUUUUCUAAAGCACAUCCCAUUGACUCCAUGUCAGUUAUUUGGGAAAGGUUCUUGACUUGUGCCAUUUUUAAAUGAUCUUUAAAGGUCUUGUUUACAAAGAAAUUCAACACUUGUUACUGUGAGGUCAGAUGCCCAGGAAUACUACUAGAUUUUUUUUGAAACCUUUUGUUAAUAUGAUUUCCUCAGUUGACCUCUAUGGAGCAUCCAGAACCAGUAUUGACGGAGGUCAUUUCAGGCUAAUGCAUGUUCUCUAAAUAACACUGUGAUGUUCAAAAUAAAAUAAUUGUGAGAUCUUUCCACAGCAUGAGAGAAUUUGUAAAGAUUUAAAUCUAAGUCAAUUUCCUCAUUUCCUAAGAUAAUUUUUUUUGGGGGGGGGAGUGGAUAGGGAGCAUGCCUUACAUUUAAUUUGGGCUUAUGAGGUACAUCCUGCAACUUCAUUUCCCACACCCUCCCCACCUGCCUCUCCUCCUCGACAGCAGUCAUGGCAACGUGGUACAGAAUCCUACACAGAGAGAUGGGGGACUCCUGGGGAACCCAAAAGGCUGUGUCUAGAGGACCCGGAAACCGGCACCUCUCCCACAGACAGAUGGGCUGGGAGGCCCCUGACUUUUUGUCUUGUCUUUCCUCUGCUUCUAAAAAUAAUUUGUGCAGCUGUGGUGUGAUGCCUUUAAGAGUGGCAGGAGUGGAGUUCCCCUUGCGGCUGAGCAGGUUAAGAACCUGACUAGUAUCCAUGAGGAUGAGGGCUCGAUUCCUGGCCUUGCUCAGUGGGUUAAGGAUCCAGUGUUGCCAUGAGCUGUGUGUAGGUCGUAGACACAGCUUGGAUCCUGUGUUGCUGCGGCCAGCAGCUUCAGCUCCAAUUCAACUGCUAGCCUCGGAACUUCCAUAUGCCAUGGGUGCAGGCCUCAAAAGACUGAAAAAAAAAAAAAAGAGUGGCAGGAGAGUAUCUGCAAUGGGGAGACUCCUGGGCAGCCAGAGAGGCCUGUAUGUAGGAGAUGGGGAGAAUUUUCUGGAACAUUCUGAAGAAAGGCCUAAAUAUCUUGGGAGCAUCACUGAGCCCCCACCUAUUACCUAUUUCAGUGACUGAAGUGGAAAGGAACAGUGGCCAAUGCUCCAAGCUGCAUAAGGAGCUCAUUGCUGCCAUUAAAUUUCAGUUCAAAGAGGAAGGGUGGGGGAGGGGGGAAAGAGGAGGAGGAUGAUAAAUAUGCAUCAACAGUAUAUAUUUUGUGAUCUAUAGUAAGAAAUAAAUAUUUGGUCUCUGGAGUUUCCUUGUGGCACAGUGAGUUAAGGAUUUGGCAGUGUCAUUGCAGCGGCCUGGGUUGCUGCUGUGGUGUGGGUUUGAUACCUGGCCUGGGAACUUCUACAUGCCAUGGGUGAGACCUCCCUGCCCCCCCAAAAAAAAACAACAGGAGAAGGAAAGAAAUAUUUGAUCUUUGUCCACUGUUCCUUGCACAGCACUCCUAAAAGCCUUGUAAUUCUCUACACAAGAGUCAUAAGGGCAUCUUUCCAUGUAUUUAGUUCCUGAAAUAGCCCCAGAGCAAUAAAUAUGAAAUGGGUAUCUUUUUUAACAAGUCCCUUUCAAUCACAUCUAAUUCUGUAAUAACAUGAUGACAUAGAAAAUGAGACUGGUUGCUGGGGAGGGGGUUUUGGGGGAGACCCAGGCAAAAUUAGAGGGUUGGAACAUUCAAUCCCACCCCCUUGACCUCUGGGGAAGGGCGAGGUGCUGGAGAUUGAGUUCAAUCAUCAAUGACCAAUAUUUAAUCAAUUGUGCCUGUGUAAUGAGACCUCCAUUAAAAACCGCAAAGGAUAGACCUGCAGAGGUUACAGGUUAGAGAACACCUGGAGAUGCCAGGCCCCCUUCCCCAGACCUUGCCCUAAGCAUCUUCCACCUGGCUGUUCUCGAGUUGUAUCCUUUUAUAACAAAUCAGUAAUCUAGUAAGUAAACUGAGUUCCGUGAGAUAUUCUGGCAAAUUAAACAAAUGAUUAAUUAACCCUACUAAUUAAGAGGUGGGGUUGUGGGAAUUUACAGAGUGCUGGUCAGAAACACAGUUGACAACUUGGACUUUUGAAUGGCCUCUGAAGCAUGUGUGGUACGGGGAGGGGGCAGGCUUGUGGGACUGAGCCCUUAACAUUGGCAUCUGAUGCCACCUCUAGAGAGACCACGUAGGAACUGAGUUGAACUAAAGGACACCCCCCUCCCCCGCCGGUGUCCACCCCUGUCCCCCACAUGCACAUUUGGUUACCAGAAGUGUCAGAAGUGAAAUAGUAUUCAGAGUAUUAUGUAUAAUACAAUUGAAAACAAUUAAUAAGACUUUUUCUUUAUAACCCGGGCAGUCAUGGAAGAGAAGAAACCCCAAACCGUAAGGCCAAGAGAGUGGAGCUGGAAUAUGGCAGGAUUCAGAAAAGCUACCUCCAGGGCAUCUGACCGAGUCCACAUUUUCAUCAGUAGACUGGGGUGGGCUUUGUCCUAAAGUGACACACAGACCUGGCACUUCCAGAAAUUUGAUAAUUGUAACAAGAAAGAUGGGGAUCUGCCUCAUGCUCCUUGGGUUUUUCUCCAUUAAGAAAAUUAACCUUUAACUCAAGCCUUGUUGUAUGACUGAGGAAAGGACUCCGUAAAGUUAAGAGACAACAGUUAACAAAGUGCAUCCAGAAAGGAGAAGCAACAAACAGGAGCUAAAUUUCAUCCCAGGCUUAUGUGUCUGGCACAGAGAUGAAUUGUGCAGGCAGUAUCUCGAUCCUUACCCCCAGCCUAUCAGGGAGUAACAUACAUUAUCCCCACUUUACAGUUGAGAAAACCAAGCCAAAGCAGCUACCGUUCCCCAGAGUCAUUUAGCAAGAAUGUGGGCCAGCUGGGAUUGGAGUGUCACUACUUCACUGACAAGACUUAUUUGUGAACUGAUGAGAUGCUAUAGGUGAUCUAUCACUUCAC